UACGUAGGUGGCAAGCGUUGUCCGGAAUUAUUGGGCGUAAAGAGCUCGUAGGCGGCUUGUCACGUCGGAUGUGAAAGCCCGAGGCUUAACCUCGGGUCUGCAUUCGAUACGGGCUAGCUAGAGUGUGGUAGGGGGAGAUCGGAAUUCCGUGGUGUAGCGGUGAAAUGCGCAGAUAUCAGGAGGAACACCGGUGGCGAAGGCGGAUCUCUGGGCCAUUACUGACGCUGAGGAGCGAAAGCGUGGGGAGCAACAGG
rnacentral:rRNA from 1 species